GACAGGUUCAAUCAACUGGAGAUGGGAAUCUUUUUUGGAUAACAUGAAAGUUUUUAGUACGCAGGAAAUACAAGAAAUCGGCACCUAAAAGAACUCAUACAGAUCAAUCGCACAUCAAAGAGCA